ACGCUCGACACCUACGGGAGGCAGCAGUGGGGAAUAUUGGGCAAUGGAGGCAACUCUGACCCAGCAACGCCGCGUGAAUGAUGAAGGUCUUCGGAUUGUAAAGUUCUGUGACGGGGGACAACACAAUGACGGUACCCCGAUAGCAAGCCACGGCUAACUACGUGCCAACAGCCGCGGUAAUCUGAGGCGGGCGUGGCAAGGC
rnacentral:rRNA from 1 species